GACGAACGCUGGCGGCGUGCUUAACACAUGCAAGUCGAACGGUAAGGCCCUUUCGGGGGUACACGAGUGGCGAACGGGUGAGUAACACGUGGGUGAUCUGCCCUGCACUUUGGGAUAAGCCUGGGAAACUGGGUCUAAUACCGGAUAGGACUACGCGAUGCAUGUCGUGUGGUGGAAAGCUUUUGCGGUGUGGGAUGGGCCCGCGGCCUAUCAGCUUGUUGGUGGGGUGAUGGCCUACCAAGGCGACGACGGGUAGCCGGCCUGAGAGGGUGUCCGGCCACACUGGGACUGAGAUACGGCCCAGACUCCUACGGGAGGCAGCAGUGGGGAAUAUUGCACAAUGGGCGCAAGCCUGAUGCAGCGACGCCGCGUGGGGGAUGACGGCCUUCGGGUUGUAAACCCCUUUCAGCACAGACGAAGCGUAAGUGACGGUAUGUGCAGAAGAGGCACCGGCCAACUACGUG
rnacentral:rRNA from 1 species